rnacentral:misc_RNA from 1 species
GUUGUACGAUAUCGAAGAAAUAAGAAAAAUGAUUUGUUGUGCUGCCGUUUCGAUUUAUAAACCUGCACUUUUUCGACCAAGAAUGAAAGAGAUUGUUGAAGUCUUAGAAGGGUAUAUGCCAUUGAAAAGUAUAGGGCUAAAUUCGACUUCCAUAAGCCAUCUUUCAUCGACCCUUUCCCAACGGAAGACAUGGGAUGUAUUUAUUAGUUCUAGAGGGAAUGACGAUGUCAGGAAAGGUUUUCUCAGCCAUCUCCUUAAUGCUUUGCAGCAAAAAUAUAUCAAUACCUUCGUGGAUAACCCACUUCGUGAAGGAAAAGAGAUUUCAUCAGCUCUCUUGAAAAUAAUCGAAGAAUCAAGUGUGGCAGUAGUCAUUUUAUCUGAAAAUUAUGCAGGUUCUGCAUGGUGCUUGGACGAGCUUGUGAAAAUACUUGAAUGCAAGCAAGCAUUAGGACAAAUAGUCCUGCCAGUUUUUUACGGUGUACAUCAAAGUGAUGUUAGAAAGCUGAGAGGUAGUUUUGAAAAGGUUUUCAGGCUUACAGAGAACCUUAAAGACUCUUUACACAAGGUGGAUAGAUGGAGCCAUGCUUUGAGGGAAAUAAGCAACUUAUCGGGAUGGGACUCAAGAUAUAUCCAGCCUGACUCCAAGUUAAUUGAGGAAAUUGUCAAUGACAUUUGCAAGAAAUUAAGUCAUGUGCUUCCAAGUGAUUUUCAUAACGACAAUUUAGAAAUCUACCCAACAGAAGAAAGCACGAGUUAGGCAGAUGAAGAUGAUUAAGUCUCCUCAGGUGCGAUUAAUGUAUACAACUCUCUGUUCCCUUUUCAUAUAUCGACAUCGUCGUCAAUGCUUAUUGCUGCACUUGCCUCCUUUUUUUCAAUUGGUUUUUAUAGUUUUUUAUUUAUUGAUAUGGUUUGUGAUUUUGUAAAUUUGAGUUGUGCAUAGAACUCCUCUCUUUCCUUCUGAUUUGAUGAAUUUUGAG